GCGCCAGUGGUUUAGUGGUAAAAUCCAUCGUUGCCACCAGCGAGUCUCAACAGCUCCGCGAUGUCGAUGGGCCCCGCGUUCGAUUCGCGGCUGGCGCA